ensembl:lncRNA
CCAGGUUCCUGUCAGUGACCAGGUUUCUGUCAGUGACCAGGUUCCUGUCAGUGACCAGGUUCCUGUCAGUGACCAGGUUUCUGUCAGUGACCAGGUUCCUAUCAGUGACCAGAUUUCUGUCAGUUACCAGGUUUCUGACAGUGACCAGGGUCGCAUUAAGGUAAUGAAACAGUUGCAUGAACAUUUUCGUCGCACAACCUUUUCUUAACUGACAACACCUGAAUGUGGACCACCCCAGCAGUACAUGUAGAUGAGGCAGGCUGACCUCACUAUCACCAAAAGCCAACAAACCUAACCUAUCAUCAACAAACCUAACCCAGCAGGACAGAGAAUCUCCG